GUGUUAAUGGGCUGCCAACCCAUUAACAAUCCGUUAAUUAACGGGCGGAAACGGAAACGGCAGCCCGACGGAACCCAUAUAAUCCGACUAAAAAGAGAAAAAUGAGAGCUCUCUCAUUCACAUAAUCACACAACGUCACACUACUUUCGCAUUGCUCAGUCCCGAUCUCAUCGCUGCACUCUCCGGCACCUUCGCAGCCCAACUGCUCCGGCCUUUUCAUCUUUCCGAUCUCCGCCUCUGUCAUAUCUCUCAGGUUGCUGAGCAAUUCGAAAUGGGUUUUCUUGGAAACUAUUGAAGAAGCGUGGUUUGAUCUGGUUGCAAUAUUGGAAUCUGACUGUGAUGAAGAUUACCCAAGUGUUCAUGGUGGUAAAAUUUUACAGAUUUCUAUUUUCAGUCUUAUAUGUAUUGGUGGAAUGCCAUGUCUGAGAUUGUUUGUAUUGACCAAGACCGAACUGAUUUAGAGCAACUCACUGAAGACGUGUUGGAUUUGACAUUGGACGGACAAAGCCACACCAACUAAAGACCUUUUUAGUUUCAUGUAAUGAUUUGCUUUGAAUUUGUAAUAUUUUAGUUUUACAUAACAUUGGAUUUAACCUAUUAUGAGAAUUAUGAGCCUAAUAUGUAUUAACUUUU